GACGAACGCUGGCGGCGUGCUUAACACAUGCAAGUCGAACGGUGAAGCGCCUUCCUUUUUGGUGGGUGUGGAUGAGUGGCGAACGGGUGAGUAACACGUGAGUAACCUGCCCCCUUCUUCUGGAUAACCGCAUGAAAGUGUGGCUAAUACGGGAUAUUCUGGGUCUGUCGCAUGAUGGGUCUGGGAAAGAUAUUGUUUCGGUGGGGGAUGGGCUCGCGGCCUAUCAGCUUGUUGGUGGGGUGAUGGCCUACCAAGGCGGUGACGGGUAGCCGGCCUGAGAGGGUGGACGGUCACACUGGGACUGAGACACGGCCCAGACUCCUACGGGAGGCAGCAGUGGGGAAUAUUGCACAAUGGCCGCAAGCCUGAUGCAGCGACGCCGCGUGAGGGAUGGAGGCCUUCGGGUUGUGAACCUCUUUCGCCAGUGAAGCAGGCCUGCCUCGUUUGUGGGUGGGUUGACGGUAGCUGGAGAAGAAGCGCCGGCUAACUACGUG
rnacentral:rRNA from 1 species